GACGAACGCUGGCGGCGUGCCUAAUACAUGCAAGUCGAGCGGAUUUAGUUAGAAGCUUGCUUCUAAUUAAGUUAGCGGCGGACGGGUGAGUAACACGUAGGUAACCUGCCUGUAAGAUCGGGAUAACUAUCGGAAACGAUAGCUAAGACCGAAUAGCUAGCUUGGAUGCAUAUCCGGGUUAUGAAACACGGAGCAAUCUGUGACUUACAGAUGGGCCUGCGGCGCAUUAGCUAGUUGGUGAGGUAACGGCUCACCAAGGCGACGAUGCGUAGCCGACCUGAGAGGGUGAACGGCCACACUGGGACUGAGACACGGCCCAGACACCUACGGGAGGCUG
rnacentral:rRNA from 1 species